rnacentral:rRNA from 1 species
AAUGAACGCUGGCGGCGCGCCUAAUACAUGCAAGUCGAGCGAGAAGACGUAGCAAUACGUUUGUAAAGCGGCGAACGGGUGAGGAAUACAUGGGUAACCUACCCUUGAGUGGGGAAUAACUAGCCGAAAGGUUAGCUAAUACCGCGUACGCUUCCUGGACUUCGGUUCAGGGAGGAAAGCGAUGCCGAGGGUAUCGCGCUCUUGGAUGGGCUCAUGUCCUAUCAGCUUGUUGGGAGGUAACGGCUCACCAAGGCUUCGACGGGUAGCUGGUCUGAGAGGACGAUCAGCCACACUGGCACUGCGACACGGGCCAGACUCCUACGGGAGGCAGCAGUAAGGAAUAUUGCGCAAGUGGGCGAAAGCCUGACGCAGCGACGCCGC